CCUACGUGAUGCAGCAGUGGGGGAUAUUGCACAAUGGGUGAAACCCUGAUGCAGCGACGCCACGUGGGUGAAGAAGCGCCUCGGCGCGUAAAGCCCUGUCAGCAGGGAAGAAAAUGACGGUACCUGAAGAAGAAGCCCCGGCUAACUACGGGCCCGCAGCCGCGGUAAUACGUAGGGGGCCAGCGUUAUCCGGAUUUACUGGGUGGAAAGGGGGCGCAGACGGCGAUGCAAGCCAGGAGUGAAAGCCCGGGGCCCAACCCCGGGACUGCGCUUGGAACUGCGUGGCUAGAGUGCAGGAGGGGCAGGCGGAAUUCCUGGUGUAGCGGUGAAAUGCGUAGAGAUCAGGAGGAACACCGGUGGCGAAGGCGGCCUGCUGGACUGCAACUGACGUUGAGGCCCGAAAGCGUGGGGAGCAAACAGGAUUAGAUACCCGAGUAGUC
rnacentral:rRNA from 1 species